rnacentral:rRNA from 1 species
AUUGAACGCUGGCGGCAUGCCUUACACAUGCAAGUCGAACGGCAGCACGGGUGCUUGCACCUGGUGGCGAGUGGCGAACGGGUGAGUAAUACAUCGGAACGUACCUUAUCGUGGGGGAUAACGCAGCGAAAGCUGUGCUAAUACCGCAUACGCCCUGAGGGGGAAAGCGGGGGAUCGAAAGACCUCGCGCGAUUAGAGCGGCCGAUGCCUGAUUAGCUUGUUGGUGGGGUAAAAGCCCACCAAGGCGACGAUCAGUAGCUGGUCUGAGAGGACGAUCAGCCACACUGGGACUGAGACACGGCCCAGACUCCUACGGGAGGCAGCAGUGGGGAAUUUUGGGACAAUGGGCGAAAGCCUGAUCCAGCCAUGCCGCGUGCAGGAUGAAGGCCUUCGGGUUGUAAAC